rnacentral:lncRNA from 1 species
GCCAUUUACUUUCUCGAUGUUCUUCAGAUAUUCCUGCAGUAAGUAUAGAGCAUAUUACAUGGGCGCACAGACAGACUAUAAAUCUUCUGGCGAGGAUGUCAAAAUUCUUGAAUCGUAGAGACUUUCAAAACAGCAAUGUGUACAAGAGCCUGAAUAUCCCGAAACUCGGUUCAAUAGGUAGUGCUGUGUAAACGCAAAGCCUUCUGUCCAUAUUCGUGCAAGAAAACACCUAUCAGCCAUAGGAAAAAAUUGUUCAUCUACAGUGUUAGUCAGCAAUUCCCAUAGGAAUGCUACUGAUUGUCGAAUUAAUUGAAAUGAGUAUCGACGAUGUACAUACCUAAAUAGUGACAUUUACAUUUUAAUCGAAAGUCCAAUAACAUUUCUGCAUUUGAAAUAUUUAAUCACAUUCAAAUAUCUUCAACCAAAAUAUUUUUUUUAUAGAUACUAAGGACAAUAAUGGGAGGGUCACGGAUAUCAUAGUUGGAAACAACAUAAUGUUGCCUUAAGACUGGAUAGUCCAAUGCUUCAAAUUCAUUCGGUAUUUAGGCUGAUACUUUUGUCAUGAAUGUCAUUACCAUAAAGUCUGAUGUCGGAGAAACUGAAAAUAUUAACAUUGGUUCGUUUCUUCAAACAUGCCACAACAUAUGGAUCGGACAAUGAUAUUCUGAACUGUAAGAUUCAGUGGCCGGUUGAUUCGACAUAACUGGCCCUUGAUACAUGCAUCGAUAAUUGUGCACAAUAAAAAUGCUUUAAAAACUUUGCUUGUAUGAAUAUCAGAAUUAACCCAUAUGAUUGCAGCAACAAUAAUCAAAUCUUACGGCAAAGUAUUUACGUUCCCUAGCCUCGAGUAUUUCCUUAGUGGUAUUGAAAUCCCAUUCCGGUCUCUUUGGCAUGUCAA